GUAGGUGAACCUGCGGAAGGAUCAUUACAACGUAUCCACGUAUAAACAAACGCGAACACUCCUUUGGGCUUGUGAAACCAGAAUAAGCUGGUCUGAAGCUAAACGGUCGAACUGCUAACUAUGCGCUCUGUCGAUGGAGUCGUCUCGGGGAAGCCCGAGCGACUGGAGCGUCAGUUCUUGGCCCGGAUCAGCCCUUUGCGGUAUUUCCGAGCUUCGUUCACCCCAAAGUGUUAUUCAACCAUCGGUUCCUAUUGUACCCUUUAUUAACCCUUUGCAACUUUUGAACUGAACUUUGUAAACACUGCGGCAAUCCUUGUUGGCUUCGGUCACGGAGAGCGCUAACGCGGUGCUUUUACUAACGAUUACGAAAUAAGAACAACUCUUAACAACGGAUAUCUUGGUUCUC
rnacentral:misc_RNA from 1 species